rnacentral:misc_RNA from 1 species
UAAGUUGUCAUUUUGUCCUUCCCAAGGCCUUGUAAAAUCUUCCUUGUCAAAUACAAAACCUGAGACCAAGAUCUCAACUGCUAGUCUUCCUUGGUUGUGGUUUUCCCCUAUAGCUUUGAAUUCAAAUUCAUCAACACUUCCAGUUCUCCUAGCCAUUUUUGUCCCUGCAAGUCCAGCUCCAGCAGCUCCAAAUGAUGCAGCAACAGCAACAGAACCAGCAACUGUUCCCGCAGCAGUAGCAGCAGCCGCAAAUCCACUCGCUCCAAUCACAGGGAUAAGAG